AGCGAACGCUGGCGGAAGGAGGAAAAAAGGAAAGUAGAGCGCAUGGCAAUUGUAUCGGACGACGGGAGAGUAACACGUGGUAUAAUACUUUUUGUUUUGGAAGAAAUGAGGGAAACUUCAGCUAAUACCGGAUAAGCCCUUACGGGUAAAGAUUUAUCUCCUAAAGAUUGGCCCGCGUCUGAUUAGCUAGUUGGUGAUUUCCCGGCUCACCACGGCGACGAUCAGUAGCUGGUCUGAGAGGAUGAUCAGCCGAACUGGGACGGAGACACGGCCCAGAAUACUACGGGAGGCAGAAGUGGGGAAUAUUGGACAAUGGGGGCAAACCUGAUAAAGAAAUGACGCGUGAGUGAUGAAGGCCUUAGGGUUGGAAAGAUCUUUUGCCCGGGAAGAGAAUGACGGUACCGGGAGAAGAAGACCCGGCUAACUUCGUA
rnacentral:rRNA from 1 species